rnacentral:rRNA from 1 species
AGAGUUUGAUCCUGGCUCAGAUUGAACGCUGGCGGCAUGCCUUACACAUGCAAGUCGAACGGCAGCACGGGAGCAAUCCUGGUGGCGAGUGGCGAACGGGUGAGUAAUAUAUCGGAACGUGCCCUGGAGUGGGGGAUAACUAGUCGAAAGACUAGCUAAUACCGCAUACGAUCUACGGAUGAAAGUGGGGGACCGCAAGGCCUCACGCUCCAGGAGCGGCCGAUAUCAGAUUAGCUAGUUGGUGGGGUAAAAGCCCACCAAGGCGACGAUCUGUAGCUGGUCUGAGAGGACGACCAGCCACACUGGAACUGAGACACGGUCCAGACUCUUACGGGAGGCAGCAGUGGGGAAUUUUGGACAAUGGGCGAAAGCCUGAUCCAGCAAUGCCGCGUGCAGGAUGAAGGCCUUCGGGUUGUAAACUGCUUUUGUACGGAACGAAACGGUCCUUUUUAAUACAAGGGGCUAAUGACGGUACCGUAAGAAUAAGCACCGGCUAACUACGUGCCAGCAGCCGCGGUAAUACGUAGGGUGCGAGCGUUAAUCGGAAUUACUGGGCGUAAAGCGUGCGCAGGCGGUUAUAUAAGACAGAUGUGAAAUCCCCGGGCUCAACCUGGGACCUGCAUUUGUGACUGUAUAGCUAGAGUACGGUAGAGGGGGAUGGAAUUCCGCGUGUAGCAGUGAAAUGCGUAGAUAUGCGGAGGAACACCGAUGGCGAAGGCAAUCCCCUGGACCUGUACUGACGCUCAUGCACGAAAGCGUGGGGAGCAAACAGGAUUAGAUACCCUGGUAGUC